rnacentral:rRNA from 1 species
UACGUAGGGUGCGAGCGUUGUCCGGAAUUAUUGGGCGUAAAGAGCUCGUAGGCGGCUUGUCGCGUCGGAUGUGAAAGCCCGAGGCUUAACUUCGGGUCUGCAUUCGAUACGGGCAGGCUAGAGUUCGGUAGGGGAGAUCGGAAUUCCCAGUGUAGCGGUGAAAUGCGUAGAUAUUGGGAAGAACACCUGAGGCGAAGGCGGGUUGCUGGGCUGACACUGACGCUGAGGCGCGAAAGCCAGGGGAGCAAACGGG